GAUGAACGCUGGCGGCGUGCCUAAUACAUGCAAGUCGAGCGAACAGACGAUGAGCUUGCUCCUCUGACGUUAGCGGCGGACGGGUGAGUAACACGUGGAUAACCUACCUAUAAGACUGGGAUAACUUCGGGAAACCGGAGCUAAUACCGGAUAAUAUAUUGAACCGCAUGGUUCAAUAGUGAAAGACGGUUUUGCUGUCACUUAUAGAUGGAUCCGCGCCGCAUUAGAUAGUUGGUAAGGUCACGGCUUACCAAGGCGACGAUGCGUAGCCGACCUGAGAGGGUGAUCGGCCACACGGGAACUGAGACACGGUCCAGACUCCUACGGGAGGCAGCAGUAGGGAAUCUUCCGCAAUGGGCGAGAGCCUGACGGAGCAACGCCGCGUGAGUGAUGAAGGCCUUCGGAGCGUAAAGCUCUGUUAUUGGGGAAGAACAGAUGUGGAAGUAACUAUGCACGUCUUGACGGUACCUAAUCAGAAAGCCACGGCUAACUACGUG
rnacentral:rRNA from 1 species